CAAACGAGUUAUAGAUCCCUAUUCGAAGCCAGCUCUUGUAAAACGCAGAAAAUAGAAAAGAAUUUUAAUUUUAAAAUUAAUUCCAUAAUAAAUUGCAAUGCAAUUCUAUUGGUGGUGAAAACUGGAUACGAAAAAUAUUCGUCCGUUCGUUUGUUCGCUCGGCAAGCAAAUAAAUACCCAUAUAUAAAUGCAAACGCAUAAAACAGUAAUUCAGCAAAAUAUUGCCAGAUAACUAAUAAUUCCCCCACACAUUGCCUGAUCUCAUACAUACAUACGUACAUAUGCAGGGAAUCAGCAGCAAGUAGUACGAGGGAAUCACAAACGCCAAUCAAUUCUAAUCCUAAAUUUUUUUGUAGACAUUUCAAGACAAACUAAAUCAAGCAAACAAACGCCUGUUCCCAAUUCUUACAGAUAUCGCAAGUUGUCAAUUGUCUGCAUUCAACAAUCAAACACACAAAUGAUCCGGUUGGGGUCCACAACAAAAGAUUGCUAAUGAUUUGAAUUUGGCUCUGACGACAACACAACACAACACCAAGAAAGCCGAUAGAGCAUUAUUGUUUGAGGUGAUAAAAAAGCAAACGAAGCUAACUAAUAAAAUAAACAAGAAAAACAAAAGGCCAAGAAAUAUAGUCAUCAUCUCAUUGGCCACAUCUUCAAAGGAGAGAGAGAGUGAGAGAGAGAGCAAGGAAACCGAAAUAAAUUUCCAAUUGAUUGCUGUUGUCGUCGUCAUCUCUGUCACGAGGAGGAGGAAACAAAACCGUUCACUACCAAAGUAAAUUCUCAGAGCAAGUGGCAGUAGCUCUUCUUGUCAUCAAUUCCAUCCAACUCUCCAUCGUCAUCAUCAUCGUCAGCAACAACAAUAAAAAAACACCUGCUCGUUUCAUUUGGUGCUAAUUUAUGCUCUAUGAAUGUUCUUCAAUGAGUACCAAGAGGAAAUAGAGAAAGUUACACAAAGAGAUAGAGAGAGAGAGAGUAAAUGCAACAUACUGAGAAUUAAUUGCCUAGGUGAAGGAGAGGAGUUAGUUUGAACAACGUGCCAUCAAAUCCAUCAAAUUUAAUUGAAACGAAGACAGAAAAAGUCAAGUGAAAAAAACCAUGGAAGCUUAGCAAACGCAGCGAAUUAUCAACAACAACAACAAUCAGCAGCACUAGCAACAAUAAUAAAAACAACACGGAACGGAUCGAGCGAGCAACCGAUCGAUCGACAACCGAACAUUCAGCCAGCCAG
rnacentral:sRNA from 1 species